rnacentral:rRNA from 1 species
GAUGAACGCUGACAGCAUGCUUAACACAUGCAAGUCAACUUGAACUUCGGUUUGGGUGGCGGACGGGUGAGUAACGCGUAAAGAACUUGCCUCACAGAUAGGGACAACAUUUGGAAACGAAUGCUAAUACCUGAUAUGAUGAUUUUAGGGCAUCCUAGGAUUAUGAAAGCUAUAUGCGCUGAGAGAGAGCUUUGCGUUCCAUUCGCUAGUUGGAGCGGUAACGGCUCACAAGGGCGAUGAUGGGUAGCCGGCCUGAGAGGGUGCUCGGCCACAUGGGAAUGGAGACACGGCCAUAACCCUUACGGGAGGAAGAGGUGGGAAAAAUGCGAAAAGGGACGAAGAGUCUGGUACAGCAAUUCUGUGUGGAAUAUGAAGUUUUUCGGAAUGUAAAGUGUUUGCAGUUGACAAGAAAAGAAUGACGGUACCAACAGAAGAAGUAACGGCUAAAUACGUG